GAACGCUGGCGGCGUGCUUAACACAUGCAAGUCGAGCGGAAAGGCCCUUCGGGGUACUCGAGCGGCGAACGGGUGAGUAACACGUGAGUAACCUGCCCUCAACUUCGGGAUAAGCCUGGGAAACCGGGUCUAAUACCGGAUACGACCUGUGGUGGCAUCACUUCGGGUGGAAAGUUUUUUCGGUUGGGGAUGGGCUCGCGGCCUAUCAGCUUGUUGGUGGGGUAGUGGCCUACCAAGGCGACGACGGGUAGCCGGCCUGAGAGGGCGACCGGCCACACUGGGACUGAGACACGGCCCAGACUCCUACGGGAGGCAGCAGUGGGGAAUAUUGCGCAAUGGGCGGAAGCCUGACGCAGCGACGCCGCGUGGGGGAUGACGGCCUUCGGGUUGUAAACCUCUUUCAGCAGGGACGAAGUUGACGUGUACCUGUAGAAGAAGCGCCGGCUAACUACGUGCCAGCAGCCGCGGUAAUACGUAGGGCGCGAGCGUUGUCCGGAAUUAUUGGGCGUAAAGAGCUCGUAGGUGGCUUG
rnacentral:rRNA from 1 species